AUUAAAUAAAAUUUGCUAUAUUAUCAUUUUGUACAAUAGUAUAUUGAUUCAAUUAUGGUUAUGUUCCCUUUAUUUUCAAAGAUAGUCUUUUCUCAGUUUCUAAACUUGUUAAGAAAGUAAUAAGACUCUGAAUACCCAAAACAAAAUCAAAAAUCCAAAACACAAAACCCUAGCCGCCUCCUCCUUGUAGUCAACCUAAUCUCAAUACUUCACCGGUAUCAUCCUGUCGUGCCGGUGCCGGUGGCUCCUCUCUCUCUAAUUUUGUGCUUUGCUUUUGUUUAUCUCGCAAGCCUCUUCUCCUUCUCAUGUCAAUAUGUUUGCUUGCUCUGCUAUCUCGACGAUGACGUCUCUUUUCGGUGUAUAGGAGGCAUUCGAAAGGUAAUGGAGUAACUACGAGACAUGCGUGAAGGCAUCAGCGGCUUCAAAUCCUUUUUCUAGGUUUUCACUGGAUUUGGUGUUUGGUUUUGGAGUUUGUAGACCCAUCCCGUCUUUGUAGAGAUUCUCUUUGGUUGGUUUGGAUCUGUCACUAGUACUUGCUUCAAGGGCCUUGUAGAUUUGUACGCAUCCGAAUCAUCACUCGGCUGUGGAUUUGGCAAAUAAGAGAAGCUUUGUUUCUUCGGUUCUCGAUGAUGGAUCGCGUAAAAAGUCACCGGCUCUUUUGGUCAUUAAGUGUCGGAGAUCUAUUUAGUGGUGGCACAUUUUAAGUGUGGAUCCAUCCCAGCAUCAUCGAUCAGGCUGUGGUCCUUCUAGCUGAUGGGCAAAACUCUUUUGUUUCUCUUUUGCAGGUAUUAGAGUGGCAGCUAAGUCCCAUCUGCCAAUUGCUCUGUGUGUGUGGUUCUUGGAAUCAAAGAUAAGGGAGACAUGACAUCCGUAUUUUCAAAUUGAUUGUUUCAACGUUCCUUGCCGUUUGUUUUCAUAUUACUGAAAGUUAAGAAUCACUUCUCGGCUUUCAAGAACGAGUCAUGGAGUGAGUAUUUCAGUAUGGUUGGUCAUUCAAAGCUGAAGUACCCUUCGCGUGGACAUUUCAAUUGUUGUGCCAUCCCAGGAACAUCUUCGGACAUCGGGUAUGUGGUGUUGGGUUCAACAAUUUUCUUAUAUUAGCAGAUUGGUGUCAAUGUCGAAAGAGAAGACUUAUCUUUUCUGGAUCAUUUUCCACGAUUUUCCUUCAUUACAAGCUAUGCUCUUCUCAAGCUGCUAGUGUGGAUCAGGACAUGUAAAGCAACAGUGUGAAGUAAAUUCAACUUUGGACAGGGCAAUUUUCCUUGAUUCUCAGGUUUUCCGGCCUAGAAUAGGAUAGGUAAGAUCAUUGUGGUCAUUUAUGCUUAUAUUUUUCUUAUCUUUCGUUUGUAAUUUGCAAGUAUGUUUCAUCUCCAUGUUUAAUAAAAAUCUAGUGUUAAAAAAAACUUGUGAAAAAAAAAAAAGAAAACAACUAUGUUAAUUCGUAAAUUGAUACUUUUUUAUCAUCAAGAUGCAUAUUCAAUUACGACUCUACAAAUCACUUAGUUAACUUUGUGUCCAUAUCAACGAAUUUAUAAAAAAAAUUAGUUAAAAAAUAGGACUCUAAACAAAUAUAAACUCAAAACUGAAAUUAUUGUUAUCUAAACUAUUAACUAAUAAAAUAUGUAUCAAAAACUUUACAAGAUUAUUUAUAUAAACAAUUAAAAAUCUAAAAAAAUCAUCAUUUUGAAUAUGGAGAAUACAAAUAAACCGGAAUUGUAAACCGAUAUCCAAAAAAAAAUUUCAUGUAUGAUACAAUAAAAGAAAGACUUCUUUUUUUUGGCAAAAGAAAAAGUUCUUUUUGGAAAAUUUGGCUGUAUAACACCAAAAAAAUCUUAAUUCAUCAUCUAACCUUUUUUCUAUAAAUCUUUCUAUCUCUCUCUUCCUUUUUUCUAUAAAUCUAAUAUCUCUUUUUUAUUUUGACUAUUCCACAAAUAAAACCCUUCUGUUUUCUAUGAACAACUUAGAUUAAAAGAAUGAUAUUAAAAGAAAGACUUAUUAAAUAAAAAUGGGCACCAUGACUUGGAUUAGAUCAUUGCAGGGAUUCAUUACAUCCGAAUCAGAACUGAUCAUUGGAUAAAAAUUCACUAAACUCUAAUUUAGAGGGGAAAAAAAGCCACGACCACGUAAUCUAAUGUAAGAUAAGGAGAAAGAACAGACACAUGGCGGGCUCUAAUACAAAGCUAU
rnacentral:lncRNA from 1 species